UACGGGGGGGGUAAGCGUUGUUCGGAAUUACUGGGCGUAAAGGGCUCGUAGGCGGCCAACUAAGUCAGACGUGAAAUCCCUCAGCUUAACUGGGGAACUGCGUCUGAUACUGGAUGGCUUGGAUUCGGGAGAGGAAUGCGGAAUUCCAGGUGUAGCGGUGAAAUGCGUAGAUAUCUGGAGGAACACCGGUGGCGAAGGCGGCAUUCUGGACCGACAUUGACGCUGAGGAGCGAAAGCCAGGGGAGCAAAGCGGG
rnacentral:rRNA from 1 species